AUACAUGCAAGUCGAGCGAACUGAUUAGAAGCUUGCUUCUAUGACGUUAGCGGCGGACGGGUGAGUAACACGUGGGCAACCUGCCUGUAAGACUGGGAUAACUUCGGGAAACCGAAGCUAAUACCGGAUAGGAUCUUCUCCUUCAUGGGAGAUGAUUGAAAGAUGGUUUCGGCUAUCACUUACAGAUGGGCCCGCGGUGCAUUAGCUAGUUGGUGAGGUAACGGCUCACCAAGGCAACGAUGCAUAGCCGACCUGAGAGGGUGAUCGGCCACACUGGGACUGAGACACGGCCCAGACUCCUACGGGAGGCAGCAGUAGGGAAUCUUCCGCAAUGGACGAAAGUCUGACGGAGCAACGCCGCGUGAGUGAUGAAGGCUUUCGGGUCGUAAAACUCUGUUGUUAGGGAAGAACAAGUACAAGAGUAACUGCUUGUACCUUGACGGUACCUAACCAGAAAGCCACGGCUAACUACGUGCCAGCAGCCGCGGUAAUACGUAGGUGGCAAGCGUUAUCCGGAAUUAUUGGGCGUAAAGCGCGCGCAGGCGGUUUCUUAAGUCUGAUGUGAAAGCCCACGGCUCAACCGUGGAGGGUCAUUGGAAACUGGGGAACUUGAGUGCAGAAGAGAAAAGCGGAAUUCCACGUGUAGCGGUGAAAUGCGUAGAGAUGUGGAGGAACACCAGUGGCGAAGGCGGCUUUUU
rnacentral:rRNA from 1 species